CUUUGUGGAGCCAGUGGACAAGUUCCGUUUAGUAACACAAACACUUCGGUGAUCCACUGCAGACUGAUCCCACAGAUUCUAGUGUGGCUCCUUUAUGAAGAAGAAAAGCCGCGUCUCUGUCCUUAGAACUGGAGUCAUGGUUUCCCAGCGACGCUCACUAGGGAGCUUAGCCUUUUCUCUUUCUCCUGAAAGUCUCGCAGGGAGAGCCUUUGCCCGUGACUUGCUCGUGUGUUCGAACUACAUUACCCGGGAUGUUCAGAGUAAAGGGCAGCAUUGAUAACGAAUGAAUUACCAGGAAACAGGCGAUUUCCGUUCAAAGCACACCUCGUUGGGGCGGGACUUCCGGCCUCCUUCCUAAGGCGGCCGUUUUAACUGCUCUAGGUCCGUUCAGGUCCGGAGGCCUGUUAGGACUGGGCGAUGGGACCGAGAACGUUCGAUGGGAGGGACUGUCGUCGCUGCACAGAGACGGGUCUGAGCUUCGGAGACGCCGUCUGGGGACCGCCUCGCCCGAGUCUCCCCGCCGUUCCUGGGCCCGCCACGCCCAGAGUCGCUGGAGGCGGCGGCGCUGAGGGACCAGCCUCAGAGUCCCAAGGCUGCAGAAGUACUUAAUAGAAACAAAACGGGUAUGUAGAGGGUGUCCUAGUUCCUUUCUGACUCUAACCCUCACUCACAUGUUUUCUGGUUUGUGGAACCCAGGAAGUCUUAGGUGCCGUCUUCCUAAUCCUUGGCUCUGGGCACCCUUGAGAAAAUAAGUU
ensembl:lncRNA